rnacentral:misc_RNA from 1 species
GAUGAAGAACGCAGCGAAAUGCGAUAAGUAAUGUGAAUUGCAGAAUUCAGUGAAUCAUCGAAUCUUUGAACGCACAUUGCGCCCGCCGGUAUUCCGGCGGGCAUGCCUGUUCGAGCGUCAUUUCAACCCUCAAGCCCAGCUUGGUGUUGGGGCACCCGGCCGCCUGACGACCCGGGGCCCUCAAGUAUAUCGGCGGUCUCGUCGGGACUCUGAGCGCAGUAACUCGCGGUAAAACGCGCCUCGCUUGGACCGUCUCCGGCGGGUUCCGGCCGCUAAACACCCCCUCUCAGAGUUGACCUCGGAUCAGGUAGGAAUACCCGCUGAACUUAAGCAUAUCAAUAAGCGGAGGA